CUCCAGACUCCUACGGGAGGCAGCAGUGGGGAAUAUUGCACAAUGGGGGAAACCCUGAUGCAGCGACGCCGCGUGAGCGAUGAAGUAUUUCGGUAUGUAAAGCUCUAUCAGCAGGGAAGAAGAUGACGGUACCUGACUAAGAAGCCCCGGCUAACUACGUGCCAGCAGCCGCGGUAAUACGUAGGGGGCAAGCGUUAUCCGGAUUUACUGGGUGUAAAGGGAGCGUAGACGGCGAUGCAAGCCAGAUGUGAAAGCCCGGGGCUCAACCCCGGGACUGCAUUUGGAACUGUGUGGCUGGAGUGUCGGAGAGGCAGGCGGAAUUCCUAGUGUAGCGGUGAAAUGCGUAGAUAUUAGGAGGAACACCAGUGGCGAAGGCGGCCUGCUGGACGAUGACUGACGUUGAGGCUCGAAAGCGUGGGGAGCAAACAGGAUUAGAUACCCGAGUAC
rnacentral:rRNA from 1 species